rnacentral:rRNA from 1 species
AUUGAACGCUGGCGGCAGGCUUAACACAUGCAAGUCGAGCGGAGAGAGGUAGCUUGCUACUGAUCUUAGCGGCGGACGGGUGAGUAAUACUUAGGAAUCUGCCUAUUAGUGGGGGACAACAUCUCGAAAGGGAUGCUAAUACCGCAUACGUCCUACGGGAGAAAGCAGGGGACCUUCGGGCCUUGCGCUAUCUGAUGAGCCUAGGUCGGAUUAGCUAGUUGGUGAGGUAAUGGCUCACCAAGGCGACGAUCCGUAACUGGUCUGAGAGGAUGAACAGUCACACUGGAACUGAGACACGGUCCAGACUCCUACGGGAGGCAGCAGUGGGGAAUAGUGGACAAUGGGCGAAAGCCUGAUCCAGCCAUGCCGCGUGUGUGAAGAAGGUCUUCGGAUUGUAAAGCACUUUAAGUUGGGGGGAAGGGCAGUAAGCGAAUACCUUGCUGUUUUGACGUUACCGACAGAAUAAGCACCGGCUAACUCUGUGCCAGCAGCCGCCGCAGUAA